rnacentral:rRNA from 1 species
UACAGAGGGGGCAAGCGUUGUUCGGAAUUACUGGGCGUAAAGGGCGCGUAGGCGGCCUGUUAAGUCGAACGUGAAAUCCCUGGGCUCAACCCAGGAACUGCGUCCGAUACUGGCAGGCUUGAAUUCGGGAGAGGGAUGCGGAAUUCCAGGUGUAGCGGUGAAAUGCGUAGAUAUCUGGAGGAACACCGGUGGCGAAGGCGGCAUCCUGGACCGAUAUUGACGCUGAGGCACGAAAGCCAGGGGAGCAAACGGG